rnacentral:lncRNA from 1 species
UAAACCUAAUGCUUGCUUAUCAUUUAAUUCUAAGGAAACAUUCAGAGAAUUACAGAUCACUGAAUAAUAUGGGGAUCAUUGAUUUUUUUUGAGUGAAAACACUUUGAAUUUCUUUACUCUUUAGCAAAUAUUUUGAAAAAUUAAAUACAUGGUAUACUUUAAAGCAAUCUGUCAUUUCAGAUAUUUGAGAAAUAAAAAUGUCUAUUGUUAAAAUAGUGAAGGUUAUUCUCCUUAACAUUGGCCUGUGGAAUUUAAGGUUUUCAUUUCCAGUUGUAGGUAGCAAUGUAAUUUUUGCCUACUUAUGUUUUAUUAUGGAUACAUAUAUCCAUAUUACAGGAUAUAUGUACCCAUAAUAAUAAAUAUACUAAUAUAAUGUUUUCAAGUUUUUUGAUAUCAGGUAUACUGUUCUGUAAAAAGUUGCCUCUUAGCUAUUAAACUCCCAAGAAGUUUUUUGGAUUUGAAAUCAUAUAUCUGGUGAUAUUUACCCAAAUUCAAGCAAUCUGCUGAAGAGCGAAAUGUCCCUAGAAUCCCUUCUGUUCAGGUUGGAAGGAACUUGUGUGACUGUCUAUGCUUUCUAGUCUUAAGACCAUUCUUCUCCAGGGGAAAAAUGAACACAAAGGAAAGACUUCAUUCUGUUGUCAUUCAGAAUCUGGUUUUUUUUUGUUUGUUUGUUUUGCAAUUGGGAUAUUUUCCCUCCCUGAUUCUACCUGCUUUAAAUCUAACUUAAAAGUUUCUUCUUAUUAUCUUUAUCUUUUUUGACUUUAGACUUUAGUUUCUCUGAAAUGAUUUUAGUUCCACUUUUUAAAAAUUGUGUUUUUCAUUAGGUGUACAUCUCUCUUCUUGGAAUUUCUACGUGCAUUAAAAAUCUGAGUUUAUCAGAAAGUAAGAUCCUUUGCAGCGAACUGAUUUUGUUGGCCACAUCAUUUGUACAUUUCUUUAAAACCUAUCCACUAAUCAAUAAUUAAAAUUCCACAGUCAGGUGGAUAUUGACUCUUCAUUCAAACACAAAGAUCAGGCUAACACCCUUUGCCUGAUUUCAACAAAGUUAUAAUCAUUGUGCCUGAGAAUAUCAGGAAAAAUUUAUUCUUUUCUUUUUGUCAUGAAUCAUGGGUAUGAUGUAGUUAUUAGGAAAAAACUGAGUAGAGAGAUACAAGAAUCCAUGUUUAAUGCUCCUAUAACAAGGGUCCACUUUAUGCUUGAGUAUGAAUCUUAUUUCUCCUCCUCCUCCUCCUCCUCCUCCUCUUCCUCCUCCUUCUUCUUUUUCUUCCUCUUCUCCUUCUCCCCAUUCCUAACUGUAAGAGAAGUAAGAUUAAUAUUCUCCUCAUCCUAGGCUGGGUUAUUUGUCCUUUAGCUCAUAGUUCAGAAGAAUGGAGUCCAGACUG